CUGCCAUUUUAAGUGUGGGCAAGACGCUUCUUGUCCCUGUCUGAGGCAGAGGGUUCGGGAAGUGGCUCGUUUUGGUGCUGUUCUCCCAUCAGCAACGCAAGAGCUGUCAGCCUUGCCUGUCUGAACUAAGGUGUGGAUGUCUGGGCAUGCAUCAGGAUGGAGGUAGAAUUUCAUCUAACAGAAAGAACAAGAGGGCGAAUUGAGAACCCAGAGAAGACAGAGCAUUUGGGAACUGAUGCCCUCUCUGGAAUAUUAAAAGACCUUGUGAAAACCUCAGGAGUUAUGUCUGCAUGGAUGGGUGUGGAGAGUUGCUUGCCUACUCUUGCACUUGGAGCUACCAGGAUGCAGGCCAGGUCUGAUAUGAAAACUCAAACUGCAGCGGUGUGACACCGUGAUCAUUUACCAUAACUGCUGUCUCUGCAGGACUUAUCAACACAGCCCUGAACUUACAGUUAAUGCAACUACCUGACAUCCAGACCAGCCUGGCUUACAUUCAGCCAGCUCAGGCCACAAACAACGGCACGCACCACUCUGCAUGGACACUUUCGGUUAGCUGCAGGAGCCAGCUCUUACAUGGCUUCUGCAGCAGUCGUACACGGAUACAGAAUGAAUUGCCAGUCAUUGCACAGUGGAAGCAAACCAUCCCUGUGACAACAACACUCAGUACAUAAUUUCGUAUUUUAUAGUAUAUAAUCCCUUGGAUUGUUCAAAUAAUAUGUAAAAAUUACAGUAUAUUGAAACAAAAGAAAAACAUCAAACCCGGAGAUCUCGAAACGGACAUAUUUAAAAUUACUUUGAAAUGAAAUUAAGCUUUUCAAAGACAAAUGGGUUUCUUGUAGCUCCAAAACAAAAUAGUAAGACACAAAAUCCAGACUGACUUGUGCAGAAAUGAUUUAAGUGGUGAAUGGGGAGGAGAUGGUCAUAGAGAGCUGAGCUGAAUAAAGUACAUUUGCAAGUUCUUGAAAAACUCACCUAGGAGGCAGUCCUGCAGAAAAUCUGUAAACUCCUUAUGACUCAACUUGAUCCAGAUAAGGUUUUCAUAGGGGUAUAAAGGAAAAAACCUCUGAUCUUGGUUGCUGUGGUAGAAAAUUGAGUAAUAAACAAUGGUUCUGUUAAUGUCUUAA